rnacentral:rRNA from 2 species
UGGGGAAUAUUGCACAAUGGGCGCAAGCCUGAUGCAGCCAUGCCGCGUGUAUGAAGAAGGCCUUCGGGUUGUAAAGUACUUUCAGUCGGGAGGAAGGUGGUAAGGUUAAUAACCUUAUCAAUUGACGUUACCGACAGAAGAAGCACUGGCUAACUCCGUGCCAGCAGCCGCGGUAAUACGGAGGGUGCAAGCGUUAAUCGGAAUUACUGGGCGUAAAGCGCACGCAGGCGGUUGAUUGAGUCAGAUGUGAAAUCCCCGGGCUUAACCCGGGAAUUGCAUCUGAUACUGGUCAGCUAGAGUCUUGUAGAGGGGGGUAGAAUUCCAUGUGUAGCGGUGAAAUGCGUAGAGAUGUGGAGGAAUACCGGUGGCGAAGGCGGCCCCCUGGACAAAGACUGACGCUCAGGUGCGAAAGCGUGGGGAGCAAACAGG